GACGAACGCUGGCGGCGUGCUUAACACAUGCAAGUCGAACGGAAAGGCCCUGCUUUUGUGGGGUGCUCGAGUGGCGAACGGGUGAGUAACACGUGAGUAACCUGCCCUUGACUUUGGGAUAACUUCAGGAAACUGGGGCUAAUACCGGAUAGGAGCUCCUGCUGCAUGGUGGGGGUUGGAAAUUUUCGGCGGUUGGGGAUGGACUCGCGGCUUAUCAGCUUGUUGGUGGGGUAGUGGCUUACCAAGGCUUUGACGGGUAGCCGGCCUGUGAGGGUGACCGGACACAUUGGGACUGAGAUACGGCCCAGACUCCUACGGGAGGCAGCAGGGGGGAAUAUUGCACAAUGGGCGGAAGCCUGAUGCAGCAACGCCGCGUGCGGGAUGACGGCCUUCGGGUUGUAAACCGCUUUCGCCUGUGACGAAGCGUGAGUGACGGUAAUGGGUAAAGAAGCACCGGCUAACUACGUG
rnacentral:rRNA from 1 species